GGGCCCGGGAGCCGCCCCCCGGCCCCGAGCGGCGGCCGCGCGGAGCGGGGCGGGAGCGGCGGCCGGGGGAGCGCGGGGCCCGCGGAGCGUUUCGGGGCACGGCUCCUGGGAGCGGCGGCCGGGCGUGCUCCUCCCGCCGAAAACGGGGCUCGGGGGCGGCCUUCUCGCCCCGCAGCUCCCUGGCAGGAGGCUGUAGCCAGGUGGGAUUUGGCCUCUUCUCAUCCUGCCUCUGUCUGCCUGGGAGAGGACAUGGCCUCGAGCUGCGCCAGAGGAGGUUUAGGCUGGCCACCACUUCAUUUAUUGCCAAUGAACUGACUUGUUUGAGCUGAGAAGGGUCAACAGAUAAAGGAAAUCUGUGUGGUUAUGGGGAAAAGACAGUGCAAAUGCCAAGGAAAUAUGGCUGGGAGGCAGCUGGAAAGCCAAGGACUAAAGGACUGCGAGUGACUGGCAGCAGUAAAAGGACACCUCUGGGCCCCCUUGGGUGGGGCACACGGGGCAUGGUUUCACCUGAGCUCUUCCGGCUCCUGUUUGUCCAGCGAGUGCAGCAGCUGCCCGAUACAUUCCCGGUCGCUCCAGAGCUUUGUUUCCUGACCAACACCCAUUUGCAGUAUUUCCCAAACAAGCGGAGGCUCAUCACCAUCGCUCCCCCUCCCUCUUCCCCUUCCAAUUAUCCUGGAGGGCUGGGGAGCAGUCGAGUUCAAACAAUCUGGGCUUGGGCAUCAGCCGGGCAGGACGUGAAGCAUUAACGAGUUUAAUAGCACCAAACAGAUAAAAGGUUUCAAAGUGCAUCAUUAAAAAAUAUCCCUGUGGCACCAGUCUGUGAUACCCCAGGGCUUCAACAUGAGAUGCAGAAACCUGUGACUGCCUUCUUCUGAAAUUCUUCCAAUUGUUUAAAAAAUUAUAAAAAUCCACAUUUCAUUUCAUUUUAGUUUAGUUUAGUUUAAGAAACAGGGUUCUCCCUGCCCAUGUUGUGCUCACACAGCCAUUGUUCAACUCCACAUGGUUCAAUGCUAGAACAAAAUAAAAUAUUAAACUAAGAGAAUAUUUUUAAUUCUAUGUCUUUGUCUCUUUUCCAUGCUUAAAGCAGGGACACACAGUACACCUUUGGGGCAACAGCUGAAAGCCACUGAGUCACAAAAGCCUGGUUGCACCUAAAAAUUUCCUGUUAACAACCUCAGCAGGGACUGUGUACAGGUUUUGGGUGCUCCCCCUUGGAGCAGCUGCAUUCUUGAAUAGUAACUUAUCCAAAGAGGAACAGAACAGAGGCUGCGAGGGCAGGGUCUCCUGGUUUGGAGGGAGUUCAGUGGUGCUGGGAAUGGCUGGAGCUGCUCAGGCCUCACAAGGGAAUGGGGAUUAUUUCACCCCCAGACAGGCUGGACAAAAGGUCUGGAAUAAUACGCAGUCUAUUUUUACCUCCCUUCUAGCAGGAAUUUUGUGGUGGCUGGCGCCUGGUGGCACGCCGGCACGCAAACCGCACACUGCAGGGCUGGGAGGGGAGUUGGGAACAAGGCAGCCCCCUCUGGACUGGGGUGCUGGGGGGAAGACAGCCAGAGGGGAAGGCAGGGUUCCUAUAGGUCCUGUCCUGCCAGCUGCUUCUCUGCAUGCUGGAAGUCUUCCUACUGGUUUUUCACAGAAAACAAAACCCUCCUGACAAGCCCUUAUGACGAACGACAGAUGAGUCUUGUCCUUAUCGCCACCCAGUUGUCACCCCUUCACA